rnacentral:rRNA from 1 species
GACGAACCGUCCAAACGUUGUUCGGAAUCACUGGGCUUAAAGGGCGCGUAGGCGGAUCAGCAAGUCCGGGGUGAAAUCUUUCGGCUUAACCGGAAAAGUGCCUUGGAUACUGCUGGUCUUGAGGGAGGUAGGGGCCUGUGGAACUUCUGGUGGAGCGGUGAAAUGCGUUGAUAUCAGAAGGAACGCCGGUGGCGAAAGCGACGGGCUGGUCCUCUUCUGACGCUGAGGCGCGAAAGCCAGGGGAGCGAACGGG